rnacentral:lncRNA from 1 species
GCUUGUGUAUUUGGUAUAUAAAUCUAACUACGUGUUUGGAAAUCCUGAACUAGUUUUGCUUGAAAAGUCUGUUACAUUUGUGGUGUCGUACUUGAAACGACCACACUUGUUGGGUCGGGCUAUUUACAUUUGGUCCGUCGGUCUGUCUGCCCCUUUAUUUAUGGUUUACCUUCAGGUUUAUUGGAAAUGUUUUAGUUUUACUCCAACCCAUACAGAUCUAUAAUAUAGAAUUAGCGUGGGACGGUACUUCAUAUUUGAGCAAUAAAAAUACCUAGACAUACUUAUAGAGGUGCAGUAUAUUUC